GACUGGUGGUCCGCGGUUGCAGACAGUGUAUAUCUGGCGGUAUACACUGUCUGCAACCGCGGACCACCAGUCAACUGUGGACCGUCCACAGUUGACUGGUACCAGACUGACUGAUGGUCCGCGGUUGCAGGUAGUCUGGCGGUAUAUGUCUGCAAGCGCGGACCACCAGGUAGUUUGGCACUACCGUGGACAGUGCUAAUUUUAUAUUUUGUUUAAAGGCAAAGAGAGACGUUUUGUACUACCAAUUACGAUCGCCACAGUCUUAAAUAAAUGGAUAUUCCAAGUUAAUGAGCAAAUGAAGAUGCUAUGUUUACAUUUUGCCUUUUAAACAUAUAUUUUCCACAUGAAAUAAACUGUAAGUACAAAACAGUAACUUGCUUUUACUUUUGCUAUUUUUUCCAACACAUCAAAGGAAAGAAAAGGUUUGGAUACUACUGACUGCAGCACUGUUGACUGGUACCAAACUCAUGUGUGGUCUUCAGUUGCAACACUUUGCUGCAAGCACAGACCACCAGUAAGCUUGGCACUACCUCAACUAGCUGUGGACAGUACAUGUACAUACACUACAACUUUUUAAAAGCUUUGUUCGAAGGCACAAAACUACGAUUUGUUCUGCCAAAUACCAUUGUCACAAACUUAAAAACAUAGAUAUCCCAAGUUAUUGUGCAAGUGAGGAGGAUUUGUUUAAACUUUGCUUGGAAAUGUUUCUUAACAAUUAACAAUGAACAAACUAAUGACAACUACACAUAGUAACUGUUUUAACUUUUAAAAAUAUAAGUUGUUCAACAGUGUAAGAUAAAACAGUAAAAUCUGGGGCUAAAGCAGACUUCUCUCUUCUUAAAAAUUUAACUGGCAAACUAAUCCCUUAGAUCAAAUCUUAACGUUGCAUUAGUUUAAGAAACACAGUGAAAUAAUAAUCAAUUGUUAACCAUCCACUUAUUAACUAUAUAUUCUUCAACACAGCCAUAUUCAAGUUCUUUGCUACUCAUUUUAUGAUCUACAUUUAUGCACUUAAGCCAGGCAGGAAGAACACGACCAGUCACAAAUUAACAUAACUUCACUCAUAUUCUCACAAUUCAGCUCAAAACAUGAGCUGCACCAACUUUAGAACUUGAGUUCUAAUUGUUGACAGUUUCAGAACAAGGGUUUGUAAGUCUUUUAGGAAUAAUGAUGGAUGUGAACCAGUACCAAAACUGGAGGAAGCAGUAAGGUAGUAUAGACAAUUACAGCAAAGUUUUCUGCAUGGAGGAGUAUUUUGAUACCAAGUUUUACAAUAAAACAAGUACAUGUAAUGUAGCUUUGUGGAUAAAAAAUUGUUCUUAAUAGCUUCGUUUUUGGAAUGCUAGGGAGGGAGUCCAGUGUUUUGGCACCAUAAAUUAAUGGAGCAAAUGUACAAGAUGCACCCCAUAUGCCUCCAGUGUUAUUCAGCAUCUCCAUCAUUAUGACUUCUCACAUAUUGUUCACAUACUGCACAGUAACUUUAAGUGUACGGACAGAGUGUUGUUACAAAUAAUAUGGCUGAUUGCAGUCAGGGCGUACAUUUGUAGCCCCCAUACAGGUGCCAAAUAAUAAAGUGCAUUGCGUACUAAGAACUAGUAUAUUGGGGCUAGUCAUGCAUGAAGUACAUCAAAUUUAAAAUGUAAAGCAAGAAAAAAAUCAAAAACUUCAACCAAGAAUUAGGCCAAGGGCCUAUAUGGAUAAUAUAUAUUUUUUUUAAAGUAUACUUGAAACAAACGCACUUGCUACAAGCUACAUGUAGCUAUGUUAUUAACAUGGUUACAAAAUGCUUCAAACAGUUGUUUGUUGACUUCACUGUGGGUGCUGCAUAUAAUGCCACGCUGUGUGACUAUGAACUUGACAUGAUUAAAAUCUUUGCUGAGAUCAAUACAAAUAAAAUGGCAAUGAUCCCUGUAAAAGUGCCGAUACAGCAAUCCAACUCAAUCAAAAACACCACCUAAGAAGCGUGCCUCAGCAGGAUCAGCACAGAUAACAAGUCCACCCUCUAAAGACAUGUUGUCUGACAAACCCUGAGCCUUGCCAGUGCAUACUAAUUAGUUACUAACUUACGACGAGUCCCUAUGUCAAGUUAGCAAUACCUUGAAAAAGACACCUGAAUUCUUAUUAUGUUUUAACUGGUUUUAAACAACUACAUGUAUAGCCACAAAUUACCAGCCGUACUUUAUUCACAAAUAACAAAGCCGUACACUGAUGGUAAUAAAACUGACAGAAAAAGAGAGAAAAUCUAAAGAGAAACACUAAGCAUCGAAAGAAAUGCUUAGUUACUCCACUGCAGCACUACUCAACCGUGGACAAUUUGCAAACACUGCAUGCAUAAUUAUAGUUUUGUUAGAGGGCACAAAAGUACAAUUUGUUCUGCCAACUACAAUUGUCACAAAUAAUGUGAAAACAUGGAUAUCCCAAGUUAUUUUUCGAAUGAAGAUGGUUUGUCUAAAUUUUACUUGGUUCAUUUUUUUUUUCUUUUUUUAAUUAACAAACUUAACAAACUACAAAAUAGUAACUUGUUUUAACUUUUAGAAAAUACAAGUGUAGUCGUUCAACAGUCGGGGAAGCGGGGAAUCGUGAUCAAAAGCGCAGAAUUCGGCGGUAAGCAGAGCCAUCAAAUUGGGCCCAGAGAAAACUGAAAUGCAAAAACUUUAAUAAAAGCAGUUUCUGAUGAAGUCUCUGAUGUUGGUCGGAGUUCUUGCUAGCGAGCAGAGUGGGAUCUAUAUGCUAUAGCAGACUAUACCUGGUGAACGUGUACGAUUUUAAAUCAAUGGCAAGUUAUGAUUAAAGGUUUUUUUUUUCACUGGCAGGAUUCAAAGUAUAGUUGCAAGAGUUGGUGGUGUGGUUGGUUCGAAUCCUGGUCGUCUCAAAAGUCUAAUAGGCCAACACAUAAUGACCAGGGGAGUGGGGCUGUAAAGUGUGACCUAUAAAAAUUGUUUAGGAAUAAUGGUACCACUUAACAACCAACAAGUAAGGGUCAAAACUGCUCUAUAACAUUCAAGAAGAGGGUCUAACUGCUACUUCGGUGCGUUGUUAAAAUAUCAAAAACACUUGUCAAUGCCACUUUUAAAAUCUUACACUAUGUGCCUCGAUUGUGAGUUGUAGAGUAAAGUAAACUUGUUGGUAGUUACAAAUAUUACACUCUUAAAACUCCCGGGUCAGAAUUGAUCCGGAUUUUGGUCCCAGUGGGCCAUGCCCAUUUCUGGGUCACUUUGACUCUGAAUCCCUGUCAACGAGUCCCGGAAUCCGAGUCAAAAUCCCCGCAUUUAACCAAAUUUCUGGUCACAAUGAUACAGAAUCCGGGUCACAUUGACACGGAUUCCGGGUUAAACAGACCCAGAAAUGGGUCUAGCCCCCUGGGACCCAAAUCCAAGUUAUUUCUGACCCGGGAGUUUUUAGAGUGUAUACUGUGUAAGUCUCACGAUGAAAAGGUCACUAUUGAGCUUUCGGGUACCUGUGAGUCAAAAGCUAUGAAAAUUACGCCUAAAUGCAAGUUCGUAUAAGUUUAAUGCGUUGGUCACAUCACUGUUGCCAUACCAUGUAAUGAUAAUCUCUAAAUGAGUUUUGGUGGUUCUGAAAAGAAACGUUGGUUUCACUGUUCAAUACUCAAAACUAAAUUGUGGAAUUAUUUCUCUUUAAAACUUACAACGAAUAAUAUUGUUAAAAAUAAUGGUUGAUAAAAUUAAUGUGUUCUUAUUACGAUAGACCCUAUUCAAUGGAGGAAUUUUAUUAUAGCAGAACUCUACAAUUACACAAGCAGUUCAUAAUACAAGCUGUAGCUUUUUUUCGAGAUUUCAGAAAUUUCAAAUUCUCUCGAAGUCGACUUACACAGUCUAUCGGUAUUAUUGAUGUUUAGUGGUAUUGUAUGUACAGUAUGUAGUAUCUUGUUCAAAAUUUAAAUUCAUAUUCUGUCUUGUGCAUUGCUGGGGUCUAUUACUAUUAUAACAAACUGUUUGUUAAACCAAACCCAUUACUAAAAUCUAAGAAGAAUACGCCUUUGUUAAAAUCAAAGGGGUGUCUAAAAUGUGAGAUAAAACAAAUAAAAAAUCGUACUGAAGGAGAGUAAUUUAAAAAAGAAAUUGAUGUCAAACAGACCUUCACCAUUAUUGAGGUUUGCAAAUCCACGAAUUAUACUAUAGAGAAAUCUUACAAAAUAACGUUCAAUUGUUUAGCUUCGGAACAAAAAUACCAACAGUUAAGAGGGCAAAAAAAAA